UACGUAGGGCGCAAGCGUUUAUCCGGAAUUAUUGGGCGUAAAGAGCUCGUAGGCGGUUUGUCGCGUCUGCUGUGAAAACCCGAGGCUCAACCUCGGGCCUGCAGUGGGUACGGGCAGACUAGAGUGCGGUAGGGGAGAUUGGAAUUCCUGGUGUAGCGGUGGAAUGCGCAGAUAUCAGGAGGAACACCGGUGGCGAAGGCGGUAGUCUGGGCCGGUACUGACGCUGAGGAGCGAAAGCGUGGGGGAGCGAACAGG
rnacentral:rRNA from 1 species